UACGUAGGGGGCAAGCGUUAUCCGGAUUUAUUGGGUUUAAAGGGUGCGUAGGCGGUCCGUUAAGUCAGCGGUAAAAUUGCGGGGCUCAACCCCGUCGAGCCGUUGAAACUGGCAGUCUCGAGUUGGAGAGAAGUAUGCGGAAUGCGCGGUGUAGCGGUGAAAUGCAUAGAUAUCGCGCAGAACCCCGAUUGCGAAGGCAGCAUACCGGCGCCCUACUGACGCUGAGGCACGAAAGUGCGGGUAUCGAACAGG
rnacentral:rRNA from 1 species